rnacentral:tRNA from 1 species
GCGGGAUUAGUUUAGUGGUAAAACGAGAACCUUCCAAGUUUUAGUCGCCGGUUCGAUUCCGGCAUCCCGCA